ensembl:lncRNA
AGAGAGUUGUAUUCUUUUAUUUUAUACUUUUACAGAUGACAUUUAUUACAAGUUUCUUAAUUCUUCUUAACAGUGAACACAUUCACUAAAGCACAGCUACCGGAAACUACAAACUGUCCAUUUUGUCUCUAAUGUACACAUGGACCCGAGAGGGGCUGAUGGUAUGUACCAGAGAGAGCAGAUAUCAUGGUGUGAAAUGUCCUUACAAUGGUCCAGAUAAUGACAAUGCUGAUAAAUAGAUAUGCAUUUAAAAGACUUAUUUUAUCAUGUAUCUUAUAUCCAACUCUUGUUUUUAGGCUGUACACACUGAUUCCAAGAAAGACUAAAAUGCAUUGCCCAGUGCCCUCUUAAAGCAACAAGUCCCUGAAGUAAUACUGUUUUUUUUAGGUGAAUACAUUACAAUUUUAUGUGAUGUAUGCAUUUUAUGUCCAUUUUAUUUCUUACUACUAAUGGCCAAUACAAUUUACAAUAAAACAAUGCAAGACAAAUUACUUAGAAAAACAAGUGUCCACACCCUUGGAGGCUGGCUCAGUGAACACAGUUUAAGUGUAGAGGUGAUUAGAAAGUAUCCUAGGCUCCAAGUCAUUGAUGAAAUGUUAAAAGUGCAUUUUGGAACAGUGCACUUCAACAGAGGGACAAUAAAAGUACUGCACAAUGCCACAAUGCGUGUAAGUCAGGUAAGGCUUUGUCCUCAGUGUUUAGCUGAAAUGGUGAUGUGUGUUUGAAACAUUCAUAUAGUGGAUUCAGUCACUGCUAAAGUAAAGUAAAUACUUCCAACACAGUUUGUUGAAUAUAUUCUCACUAAACUAAAUGAUAACUUUAUAUAUUCUCUUGAUGAUUAUUUGUACUCUGAUCCUUCAUAUAUUUUUUAUGUAAUGUACACAUUGUGGUGACAUGCAAAAAGUAAUGUCAGAAGGCAAGAAAAGUUUGAGAGGAGAAAGAGGCAAGUAUGGUUCAGGGUAAAAAAAUAAUGGCACAGUAGGAAUGGUAAAAUAAAAAGUGCUAAACAUGAGACAAUAGGACCAGUUGCACACAAUCAUGAAACAGGCUUCUUUCAAGAGCAUUUUCCAAAACUGUCCAGCAACUCUCAACUGCACUGCAGUUUGUCUUAAGUUAAAGCGUGCCAUGCAGUUUGAUUUGGAUAAUGGUUAAGCUUAUGCACCUUUGUCAACAACAUCUUAAUAUUAUACACAAGGUCUUGCAUGUGUGACAAACAGCCAUUUAACAAUAAAAUUAUCAAGUGCAUUGUGCGAUUAACAAAUGUGUGGAAAAAGGGAAAACAUCAACAUGAUAUGACAUAUUUUUGGUAGCAGGAGCCUGUGGGGCUUUCUUAGCUACUUAACAGGAAAACAUGUAAAAGAGAAGUAACUAAUAACACUGUUGUAAAGCUGGAGUCAUUUGAGGAAAACCAUGGCUGUGACACUUUCAUUCUUUUCUUUUCUCUACAUGGUACACAAUACAUUGACAAUACUAAAAUAAAUAAAUUAUCAUGAUAAAAUAUUUCAAGAUAUGACAAGUUGACAAAAGGGGUA